rnacentral:rRNA from 1 species
UACGUAGGGGGCAAGCGUUGUCCGGAUUUAUUGGGCGUAAAGAGCGUGUAGGCGGCCUGAAAGGUCAGCUGUGAAAACUCGAGGCUCAACCUCGAGACGUCGGUGAAACCAUGUUGGCUAGAGUCCGGAAGAGGAGAGUGGAAUUCCCGGUGUAGCGGUGAAAUGCGCAGAUAUCGGGAAGAACACCCGUGGCGAAGGCGGCUCUCUGGGACGGUACUGACGCUGAGACGCGAAAGCGUGGGGAGCGAACGAGG